rnacentral:tmRNA from 2 species
GGGGUUGACUGGAUUUGACAGCGGGAUGAAAUGGUACGUAAGCACGCGGAGACUUGUCUGUUCGCUCCUUAAUCCGAGUAGGCAAAAAAUUAAUUGGCGAAAACAAUUACGCUCUCGCUGCCUAAUCGAAGCAUAGUAGAUUACUGGCUUUAUCCCGUCACAAGGUGACAGGACGAGACAUCGCUCCAAGGAUGUUGUUCCGAAUCUAAGGGUUCAGCGGUGCAGAUAAAUCGGAAAUAGCUCGUAUAGGUCUCGCUACAUGGGUGAAAUUUUAGAGAAUAAGGUUAUGGUUGGUGGUUCAGGUCUUGCCAUAACACGAAAAUGAAGUCUGAAAUAAACGUGUAGAAAGCGUAUAGUUUCCCUGUUUGGACGUGGGUUCGAAUCCCACCAGCUCCACUG